rnacentral:rRNA from 1 species
UACGUAGGGUGCAAGCGUUACUCGGAAUUACUGGGCGUAAAGCGUGCGCAGGCGGUGAUGUAAGACAGGGGUGAAAUCCCCGGGCUUAACCUGGGAACUGCAUUUGUGACUGCAUCGCUGGAGUGCGGCAGAGGGGGAUGGAAUUCCGCGUGUAGCAGUGAAAUGCGUAGAUAUGCGGAGGAACACCGAUGGCGAAGGCAAUCCCCUGGGCCUGCACUGACGCUCAUGCACGAAAGCGUGGGGAGCAAACAGG